GCCCUCCCUGAAAACUCUCUUGUAACUUUGAGAGUCCUGGCUUCUUCUGUGAUGUCACAACUAUUGUCGUGACUGCAACUGCCUCUCAGAUAUUCCUUCAGUACCAAAAGGUUUUACUAAUAUCCUCCAAUUCAGAGCAAAUUGGGGUGUGAUAACAAAGAGGAUGAAGACAUCAGAAAUGGGAAGAAGGAAGCUGGCCUUCUGUCUUGCAGAGGACCCAAAGGAUGGUGUGACACAGCUUUGUAAAGAAACAUACUCGAGACAGGAUUUCCUUUCACUAAUGGCACAGUUCUAAGGAUUCAUCCUCUCCAUGAAUGUCAGCUAAAACCAUUAUUGAAAAAAUGAAAUAUCCCUAAAACAAAACCGUAUAACCACCGGAUUCACAUGAAGAUGACCUAGUGGAGACAAGCUGGACCUCACCUUACCAACAAGCUAUCAAAUCUGUAAUGUUUAAAUAGUGAGACCUCCAAGGAAGGAGAUGCCAAGUAGUGCUUCAAAGCUUCAGACCACAAUCAAACACAGCAUCAUUUUCAACAGAAGCAGAAGCUCAUCUGAAUAUGCUGAAGGAUGCUGACAUCAACAUUUAAUCAUCACCUCACUCAUCCAGGAAGAAGGGGAGAUCAGUUACUACUGUAAUUUAUUGUGUUCAACCAAAUUACCAUGUUACAAAAAUAGCAAGCUGCCAUAUUAAAAAAUAAGGCUCCUCUAUCUA